rnacentral:rRNA from 1 species
UGGGGAAAAAAAAAAACCCCCCCGCCGCAUUUUUUUUUUUUUUCCUCCCCCCCCUCGGGGGGUGGGGGGGGGGCCCCAACAAAAAAAAAAAAAAAUUCUAUUCUUUUUUGUUCCCCCCCCCCCCGCCGAGAAAAAAAAAAAAAACUACUUCUUUUUUGUGUGGGGGGCAAAACAAAAAAAAAAAAAUAUUUUUUUUUUUUUUUUUUAAGAAAAACACACCCCCCCGUUUUUUGGGGGGUUCGAUUUACUGUGGGAAGGCGGGGGGCGAGGGGUUUUUUUUCUCCUUCUAACAUAGGGGGGGUAAAUAUGAGGGGGGGGGGUUUGAUUUUCUCCCAAAAAAAAGAUUUAUUUUUCUCCCCCCCCCCUUUAGGGGGGGGGAAAAAAAAAAUUUUCUUUUUUACCCCCCCCACGGGGGGGGGGAAUAUUUUUUUGGGAAAAAAAAAAAAAUUUUUUUUUUUAAAAAAAGAAAAUUCCCCCCCAUUAAACCCCCUUUUUUUCCCUUUAAGGAACAAAAUUUUUUUCCGGGGGGUUUUUUUCCCCUUUUGGGGGAUUUCCCUUGGCCAAAAAAAAAUAUAGCCCAGGGGUUUUUCCCCCCAAAAGUCUCCCUUUCGGGUUUUUAAAAAGAAUAUUUUCUUUUUUUUUCCCCCCCCCAAUUUUUUUUUUUUUUUUCAGGGGGGCCUCAAAAAAUUUUGGGGUUCCCGAAAAUUUUCCCCGGCCAACCUUCUUUGGGGUUCCUUUUUGGUUCCCCACUUAGGUACCUUUAUUUGGAAAUUUUACUUAAUUCCUUUUACUAGGGUUGUAUCACUCCCUUUAAUAAAAGGACAAACCCGCCUCCAAUGGCACAUACAAAUGAUGCUACUACUUUCAAGAUCUGCUCCGUGAACAUCUCCAACACACCUCACGGCGGGUCUUCUCAGAUGCACACGUGCCGGCCUACGUGGCUGUACCAUGUGGGGCU